rnacentral:rRNA from 1 species
CUCCUGGGAAGUCCUCGUGUUGCACCCCUCUCUUUUUCUUCGCAUUUUUUUUUUCGUUGGGGUUGUCGUUUACGGCGGUCCAGCACGCUCGCUCUGCAUGCACCCCUUUCAUUUUCCCAGCAUUUUUUUUUUUUUUUUUCUCGUCGGGCUUAUCGUUUACGUCGGUCCAGCACGCUCGCUUUGUAGGCUUAGCGCGCCCCAGGCCAAAAACACGAGCCGCGGAUCUCGUUUUGGGUGAUAAAGCGUCGCGGCGACGUCGAAAUCCGCGGAAGCCCCUCGGGUUGCACCUCUCCGGCGUUAAGGUGCAUCGUUGCGUUCGGAUCCUUUUAUAAGAAUUAAACGCGCUUAUGCUGAUGGGUGCGAUCAUACCAACACUAAUGCACCGGA